rnacentral:rRNA from 1 species
GCGAACGGACGAGAAGCUUGCUUCUCUGAUGUUAGCGGCGGACGGGUGAGUAACACGUGGAUAACCUACCUAUAAGACUGGGAUAACUUCGGGAAACCGGAGCUAAUACCGGAUAAUAUUUUGAACCGCAUGGUUCAAAAGUGAAAGACGGUCUUGCUGUCACUUAUAGAUGGAUCCGCGCUGCAUUAGCUAGUUGGUAAGGUAACGGCUUACCAAGGCAACGAUGCAUAGCCGACCUGAGAGGGUGAUCGGCCACACUGGAACUGAGACACGGUCCAGACUCCUACGGGAGGCAGCAGUAGGGAAUCUUCCGCAAUGGGCGAAAGCCUGACGGAGCAACGCCGCGUGAGUGAUGAAGGUCUUCGGAUCGUAAAACUCUGUUAUUAGGGAAGAACAUAUGUGUAAGUAACUGUGCACAUCUUGACGGUACCUAAUCAGAAAGCCACGGCUAACUACGUGCCAGCAGCCGCGGUAAUACGUAGGUGGCAAGCGUUAUCCGGAAUUAUUGGGCGUAAAGCGCGCGUAGGCGGUUUUUUAAGUCUGAUGUGAAAGCCCACGGCUCAACCGUGGAGGGUCAUUGGAAACUGGAAAACUUGAGUGCAGAAGAGGAAAGUGGAAUUCCAUGUGUAGCGGUGAAAUGCGCAGAGAUAUGGAGGAACACCAGUGGCGAAGGCGACUUUCUGGUCUGUAACUGACGCUGAUGUGCGAAAGCGUGGGGAUCAAACAGGAUUAGAUACCCUGGUAGUCCACGCCGUAAACGAUGAGUGCUAAGUGUUAGGGGGUUUCCGCCCCUUAGUGCUGCAGCUAACGCAUUAAGCACUCCGCCUGGGGAGUACGACCGCAAGGUGAAACUCAAAGGAAUUGACGGG